UCCAGUGUGAACUACUAGAAAUAUGUACAUCUACUGAAAGAGUCAUAGUUAUAUAUUUUUAGCUAUUAGCUCAUUGUAUCCAAUACCUGUGAAGUUGUAUGUUUAUAGUUUUGGAAAUAAGUGUGGAAUAUUGGCUGCUGGUACCUAUGUACGGUAACUUAAGUAUAUCGUCAAGAACACUUUAUGCUCAGCAAUCGUACAAAGUAAAUGACGCAUUUCCUUUCAAUGGAUAGACAAAAAGUGGACGGGGGGCUUCCAUGCCACAUCCAUGGCUACUGCUGGAAGUUGAUUGGCGGUCUUCAUGUCCCAAAAUGCUAGUUUUAUAGAUUAUGAAGCAACCAUAAGGACUGGAUUCAGAAAGAACCAUGAAGCCAAUGGUCCAUGUCAAAUAGAUGUUUGAGCUUUCAUUUUGUACAACUGAUGCCUCAUACUUGCAUCUGAUGUAUGGUGUAUGGUGUAUGGUCUCUUGGUGGGUAUAUUUAGAAUAGACUGAAGUGUAUGUAUGUGACAAAUAGUUAAUGAAAUAAAAAAUAUUUGGUGCACCUAAAAUAUGGUGUCUUGG